rnacentral:rRNA from 1 species
CCUACGGGAGGCAGCAGUGGGGAAUAUUGCGCAAUGGGCGAAAGCCUGACGCAGCGACGCCGCGUGAGGGAUGAAGGUCUUCGGAUCGUAAACCUCCGUCAGCAGGGAAGAACGGUCACUGUGCUAAUCAGCAGUGAAUUGACGGUACCGGCAAAGGACGCACCGGCUAACUCCGUGCCAGCAGCCGCGGUAAUACGGAGGGUGCGAGAGUUAAUCGGAAUUACUGGGCGUAAAGCGCUCGUAGGCGGUAUGUCAAGUCAAGGGUGAAAUCCCCGCGCUCAACGUGGGAACUGCCUUUGAAACUGGCAAACUUGAGUGUGUGAGAGGAUAGUGGAAUUCCAGGUGUAGGGGUGAAAUCCGUAGAUAUCUGGAGGAACACCGGUGGCGAAGGCGACUAUCUGGCACAUAACUGACGCUGAGGAGCGAAAGCGUGGGUAGCAAACAGGAUUAGAUACCCCUGUAGUC